rnacentral:misc_RNA from 1 species
AAAAAAGAAGAAAUUGAUGAAAUUGUAUUAGUUGGAGGCUCCACUAGAAUCCCUAAGGUCCAACAGCUUGUCAAAGACUUCUUCAAUGGAAAAGAGCCAAACCGUGGAGUCAACCCUGAUGAGGCUGUUGCUUAUGGAGCUGCUGUACAAGCUGGAGUGUUGAGUGGAGAGGAAGACACUGGUGACCUUCUGCUGUUGGACGUUAACCCCUUGACCAUGGGUAUCGAGACUGUUGGCGGUGUCAUGACCAAACUCAUCCCACGUAACACUGUUAUCCCCACCAAGAAAUCUCAGAUCUUCUCCACAGCUGCUGAUAACCAACCAACUGUGACCAUCCAGGUCUUUGAAGGAGAACGUCCAAUGACCAAGGAUAACCACUUGCUCGGAAAGUUUGACCUGACAGGAAUUCCCCCAGCACCUAGAGGAGUCCCACAGAUUGAGGUUACAUUUGAGAUCGAUGUAAACGGUAUCUUGAAGGUUACAGCUGAGGACAAAGGAACAGGAACCAAGAACCACAUUGUUAUCCAGAACGACAACAACAGACUCUCACCAGAAGACAUCGAAAGAAUGAUCAACGACGCUGAGAAGUUUGCUGAUGAUGACAAGAAAGUGAAGGAGAAGGUAGAAGCCAAAAAUGAACUCGAAAGCUAUGCAUAUUCUCUUAAAAAUCAGAUAGGAGACAAAGAAAAAUUGGGAGGAAAAUUGAGUGAUGAGGAUAAAAAGACAAUUGAAGAAGCUGUGGAUGAGAAAAUUAAGUGGAUGGAAUCUAAUGCUGACGCUGAAGUAGAAGACUUAAAAGCACAAAAGAAAGAGUUAGAAGAGAUUGUGCAGCCUAUUAUGACCAAACUUUAUCAGGGAGCAGGUGGUGCCCCUCCCCCAUCAGGAGAAGAGGGCGCUGAUGAGAAGGACGAGUUAUAAAGACAGUUUCUCAUUAAUUCAUUAGUUUUUUUUCAUUCAUUAUCAAUCAGGGGUCCUUUGACAAAUUUAAUGAAUGUUUUGUCUUUCAGUUAAGUGCUAUCAAUUUAUAUAUCUUCUCUCCGUUUUCUAAAAUGUAGUCAACAUAAAACACUGAUAAUAAUUUUGGGGCCAUAAGAAAGCUUUUAAGUAUAAGUAGAAAUGCUGUUUGUAAAAUAAAGGGGCAUGUCAUUUCCUUUUGGAUGAGUGCUUGUAUUGUAGAAUAAAAGCUCAUGUAGCAUAAUUAUUUUUUUACCAAAUCAUCAUGUAUUCCACAGCAGAUUUUAAUUUCUUGAGUUUGACAUGAUGUACCAUUGUAUAGCUGUUUCUUCUGGCAGAGGUGUGGAGAGAGCAUGGAAAAGAAAAUUAGCAACAUGGGAGAUGAUGCAACCUUAUUCCUUGCAACUUGCAUCAUAGUAAUAUGGAUCUUUCUGCUCUAUUUAUUGAUGAUAGUGUGCUAGUGUAAGUGCUGAGUGGUUGAAAUGAGAGUUUCUCUGAACAAGUUUGAUGGAUGAAAUCCAUGUACAAGUGAAUUUGUUGUUUUGAAUGUAAAUGUACAUGUUUAUGAUGGAUGUUAUUAAAAUUCUAAAAUUU